rnacentral:rRNA from 1 species
ACGCUCGACACCUACUGGAGGCAGCAGUGGGGAAUAUUGCACAAUGGAGGAAACUCUGAUGCAGCGACGCCGCGUGGAGGAAGAAGGUCUUCGGAUUGUAAACUCCUGUUGUUGAGGACGAUAAUGACGGUACUCAACAAGGAAGUGACGGCUAACUACGUGCCAGCAGCCGCGGUAAUCUGAGCGGGCUGGCAAGGC